rnacentral:rRNA from 1 species
UACGUAGGGCGCAAGCGUUGUCCGGAAUUAUUGGGCGUAAAGAGCUCGUAGGCGGCCUGUUGCGUCCGCUGUGAAAUCCCGGGGCUCAACCCCGGGCCUGCAGUGGAUACGGGCUGGCUAGAGGCAGGCAGGGGAGAACGGAAUUCCUGGUGUAGCGGUGAAAUUCGUAGAUAUUCGGAGGAACACCAGUGGCGAAGGCGGCUCACUGGUCCGGUACUGACGCUGAGGUGCGAAAGCGUGGGGAGCAAACAGG